rnacentral:lncRNA from 1 species
AACAAAAACAGUUUGUAUACAGAUUACAGGUGUGUGUGUGUGUGUGUGUCUGUGUGUGUCUGUCUGUCUGUCUGUCUGUCUGUCUUUGGACAUCUAGGACACACAUCAGUUCCUGCAGGCCCUCCAGCAGCAGAGCCCUGGCAGAGGAAAGUUCUGUAGCAGACAGGACCUUUUAUUGCAGGAGAGAGUCACUCUGCAGCUGCGCGCUGCACGUUACGAGGUCCACGACAUAUUCUUCAGCCUGUCAGCCGGAGAGAGGAUGCAGCUGAUCAACUGGGACAGAGAGCUGGCCAGAGAGAGAGAGCUCAGACGACAGAGUGGGCACACAGGCAAUCCCAGAGGAAAGAGUUCUCUGUCAACUGCAACACAGAAGUCACUGGAGAGGAAGAGAGGAAUGAUGAUCCAGAAAAAGGUAGCGGAAAGGCACACAGGAGUUGUGACGAGGACUGGACACAAUACUGGAUUCUCUGCCGAGCAGCCGCCGGAAACCAAACAAGGACAAUUCAGAGCAAAUCCUCAGAGGGUCCCCAAGAGCACUUACUCCUCAAGACCACGAUGACACCUUCCUAACUGGCCCCAGUGAGGUUCUCCUAAUAAAGCCUCUAGCUAAACGAACACUUUGGCAUCCUUAAGCUGACUCGCAGCAGACAUUAUGACAUGUCGUAGCAGGAAAAGCACAGGUGUAAUGAAUAUCACUAAUGAUGGCUCCUUCUCAUUUGCAUAUAUACCAGUAAGCCAGUAGUUCCAAACCUGGGUGUCACCUUGUGAGAUGAUUAGCACAGGAAAGAAGCAAAAAAUGUAUAGUAUAUGCAGCACAAAUAGACUUUCUUGUGAAUUAUUGGAUGAUUUUACGUCUGUGGAAAGAGUCUAUAAAUCAGGUUAUUAGUUCAGCUGUUUUUGCAUGUUAGUUUUAUUUUUUCUCCAGUUUUCCAAUGCUAAAUCUCUACUUUAGGCUAGACCAGCUCCAGAUGUAUUAGCACAUAUUGAACUCUGUUAGUAUUGAAUUUACAUAUUUUUUGUAGGACAGUGUGCUCACCUAUACAGACAUUUUAAUAUCCAUCUUAGUGUUAACGCUAAUACUUGAAUAGUGUGUUACUCCCAAGGGUUGCCCUUACAUAUUUUUCUAGUGUAUUGGGGGUCACAUGUCAGCCAAAAAAUGUUUUAUUCUUGGAAACUUUGGACCUGUUUUAUGUUAUUUAUUUAUAUGUGGUUGGUAAUAAAU